rnacentral:rRNA from 1 species
CGUAACAAGGUUUCUGUAGGUGAACCUGCAGAAGGAUCAUUAGUGAAGAUUUGGGCAGGCCAUACGGACGCCAAAAAGUGUCCCUGGCCGCCUACACCCACUAUACAUCCACAAACCCGUGUGCACUGUCUUAGGAGAAAGGCUUCAGAGAAGUUUUUUGUGGCCUCUCUUGGGGUCUUUCUUCGCUACAAACUCGAAUGGUUAGUAUGAACGUGGAACUUGGUUGGACCGUCACUGGCCAACAAACUAUACACAACUUUCGACAACGGAUCUCUUGGUUCUCCCAUCGAUGAACAACGCAGCGAAACGCGAUAGGUAAUGUGAAUUGCAGAAUUCCGUGAAUCAUCGAAUCUUUGAACGCACCUUGCGCUCUAUGGCAAUCCGUAGAGCAUGCCUGUUUGAGUGCCAUGAAAUCUCCCACCCCAAGCGGUUUUUGAAUGAAACGGCUUGGCGGAUGGGGUCUGGAUGGGUGCCUCUGCCUGCGCUACCCUGCACAGGCUCGCCCGAAAUGCAUGAGCGCCUUGAGACACUUUGCAUCCGCCUCUCUGUUUGGGAGGAGGCGGCCAAGCAGUGUUUUUCUCCUGGCAUGACAUGAUACGUCAUUUGCUAUGUCGCCUAAAGGAGGAAUGUUUGGUUGUGUCUGCGUGUGCUUCAAACUUGCCUCUGUGGCACAUCCCAAUUUCACUUCUGGUCUCAAAUCAGGUAGGAUCACCCGCUGAACUUAACCUUAUCAAAUAAGCGAAGGAAAUC